AUACGUAGGGGGCGAGCGUUAUCCGGAUUUAUUGGGUUUAAAGGGUGCGCAGGCGGGCGAUUAAGUCAGCGGUGAAAGGCUCGGGCUCAACCGGAGCAGUGCCGUUGAUACUGGUUGUCUUGAAUGCGGUCAAGGCCGGCGGAAUGUGGCGUGUAGCGGUGAAAUGCAUAGAUAUGCCACAGAACACCGAUAGCGAAGGCAGCUGGCCGGGCCUGCAUUGACGCUGAGGCACGAAAGCGUGGGGAUCGAACAGGAUUAGAUACCCUGGUAGUCCACGCUGUAAACGAUGGACACUCGUUGUCGGCGACAGACAGUCGGCGGCCAAGCGAAAGUGAUAAGUGUCCCACCUGGGGAGUACGGUCGCAAGGCUGAAACUCAAAUGAAUUGACGGGG
rnacentral:rRNA from 1 species